CAGGUGCUGGAUUUUGGGUGAGCUGGAGAUUUCAGCAGAGACAUGGUGGCCAGCGGAUAUGGUCCAAAUCUCAUUGUUCAGUUUAUACAUAUAUGGAACUGAUAAGGGAACUUUCUUAGGAGGAGAAGCUGUGUUGUAGCUGCUCGGUGGGGUUCAAGGCCUUUGAGAGAAAAGAUCAAAGUGGUUAGUAUACCAGGGUGCCAAUGUAUUACAAUGUGAGAUUUGUGUUUCUGGUCUGGCUUCAAUUUCACUCGAAUGAUGUAAUUGUCAAUAUACGGGAACCAUCUGCAUCCCUUUCUUAUGAGACACCAAUCUAGAGUGAAUAUGCUUAUAGGUGUUGCAUAGGACGAAAUGGUUUAUGAUAUUUUACUCUUAUAAUGCAUCGAUAGUUAUAGAAACUGCGAAUACAUGACAGUCAUAUCAUAUGUCCAUUUUGAAAUAAUAUUAUAUUCUACGAUCAAUUCAAUCGUAUCCACGUUAAUAUUUAUUAUGUUAGGCUGAGAAAUUGUAUUCGAGGUCAUUGGCUCAUUGUUUCCUAUGUUACUUUUUGUUGAUUAAAUGCAGUCAGUAUAGAGCCAGAAUUGAAAUUCAUUGUGGUCAUUGACUAUGCAAAGACUAUACCCUUGAAGAUUAUAGAGCCAGGUACAUGUCCUGUGUGCAAAUU